AAAAUGACUCUCGGCAACGGAUAUCUCGGCUCUUGCAUCGAUGAAGAACGUAGCAAAAUGCGAUACUUGGUGUGAAUUGCAGAAUCCCGUGAACCAUCGAGUCUUUGAACGCAAGUUGCGCCCAAAGCCAUUAGGUUGAGGGCACGCCUGCCUGGGUGUCACAC
rnacentral:rRNA from 1 species